rnacentral:tRNA from 1 species
GCCGGCAUAGCUCAGCGGUAGAGCGGGCGCCUUGUAAGCGCCAGGUCGUGGGUUCGAAUCCCACUGCCGGCU